rnacentral:rRNA from 1 species
AUGGUCGGAGGACGCUUCUGGGCGCUGGCGGAGGAGGACGGAGAUGAAGAGCACGACGGUGGAGAGGUGGCCGGUGUCUCGCCGGGGGAACAGUCACCAACGCCGUCUGAUGAGGUAUGUCAACUAUUGAUUGAUGGAUAUGAAGAUGAGGACGUGGCGGCAAUCAUCGACGAUCUGCUGCCGCCGGCGGAUCGGGCUAGGAGCGGUCUGCUGCCGGAGGAGAAGGUGUUGAUGGUUCGGCGGGUGGCGCACCGGCGAAUGGCGGCGACGGCCACUCGUCCAUGGAUCGGGCCUUUGCCUAAGGUACGUCUACCUCAACUAAAACUAGUGGAUCUUGUUCGGCCGGAGAUGUAG